AUUCUUUUAGUAUAAAUAGUAUAAUUGACUUCCAAUCAAAAGGUUAAUUUAUUUUAAAAGAAUA
rnacentral:tRNA from 1 species